GUAGCUGACUCGGCAUUUGAAAACUUGCUGAAAAUGUUGAAGAAUAUGUUUCCAAAGAAUAACGAGUUGCCCGCCAGUACGUACGAAGCAAAGAAGGUUGUCUGCCCUCUAGGUUUAGAGGUUCUGAAGAUACAUGCAUGCAUCAACGACUGCAUCCUCUACCGCGGUGAAUACGAGAAUUUGAAUGAAUGCCCGGUAUGCACUGCAUUGCGUUAUAAGAUCAGAGGCGAUGACCCUGGUGACGAUGUUGAGGGCGAGAAACCCAGGAAGAGGGUUCCCGCCAAGGUGAUGUCGUAUGCUCCUAUAAUACCACGGUUGAAACGUCUGUUCAGGAACAAAGAGCAUGCCAAGUUGUUGCGAUGGCACAAAGAGGACCGUAAGUCGGACGGGGAGUUGAGACACACCGCAGAUGGAAUGCAAUGGAGAAAGAUCGACAGAGAGUUCAAAGAUUUUGCAGCUGACGCAAGGAACAUAAGAUUUGGUCUAAGUACAGAUGGCAUGAAUCCUUUUGGCGAGCAGAGCUCCAGCCAUAGCACCUGGCCCGUGACUCUAUGCAUCUACAACCUUCCUCCUUGGUUGUGCAUGAAGCGGAAGUUCAUUAUGAUGCCAGUGCUCAUCCAAGGUCCGAAGCAACCCGGCAACGACAUCGAUGUGUACCUAAGGCCAUUAGUUGAUGAACUUUUACAGCUGUGGGGCAGACCUGGUGUCCGUGUGUGGGAUGAGCACAAAAAAGAGGAAUUUAACCUACGAGCGUUGCUUUUCGUAACCAUCAACGAUUGGCCUGCUCUUAGUAACCUUUCGGGACUGUCAAAUAAGGGAUACAAUGCAUGCACGCACUGCUUACAUGAGACUGAA
rnacentral:rRNA from 1 species